rnacentral:tRNA from 1 species
GCACUCUUAGCUCAGCUGGAUAGAGUAGUUGGCUUCGAACCAAUUGGUCGGGGGUUCGAAUCCCUCAGAGUGCGCCA